CACGUAGGGUGCGAGCGUUGUCCGGAAUUAUUGGGCGUAAAGAGCUCGUAGGCGGUGUGUCGCGUCGGCCGUGAAAACCUGCAGCUUAACUGUGGGCUUGCGGUCGAUACGGGCAUCACUGGAGUUCGGCAGGGGAGACUGGAAUUUACGGUGUAGCGGUGAAAUGCGUAGAUAUCGUAAGGAAGACCAGUGGCGAAGGCGGGUCUCUGGACAGUUCCUGACGCUGAGGCACGAAGGUCAGGGGAGCAAACGGG
rnacentral:rRNA from 1 species